GACGUAGGGCGCGAGCGUUGUCCGGAUUUAUUGGGCGUAAAGAGCUCGUAGGCGGCUUGUCGCGUCGUCCGUGAAAACCUGCAGCUCAACUGCAGGCUUGCGGUCGAUACGGGCAGGCUAGAGUUCGGUAGGGGAGACUGGAAUUCCUGGGUGUAGCGGUGAAAUGCGCAGAUAUCAGGAGGAACACCGGUGGCGAGGUGGGUCGUCUGGCCGGCAUACUGACGCUGGAGGGAGCGAAAGCGUGGGGGAGCGAACAGG
rnacentral:rRNA from 1 species